UACGGAGGGUGCAAGCGUUAUCCGGAUUCACUGGGUUUAAAGGGUGCGUAGGAGGGCAGGUAAGUCAGUGGUGAAAUCUCCGGGCUUAACCCGGAAACUGCCAUUGAUACUAUCUGUCUUGAAUACCGUGGAGGUGAGCGGAAUAUGUCAUGUAGCGGUGAAAUGCUUAGAUAUGACAUAGAACACCAAUUGCGAAGGCAGCUCACUACGCGAAUAUUGACACUGAGGCACGAAAGCGUGGGGAUCAAACAGG
rnacentral:rRNA from 1 species